rnacentral:rRNA from 1 species
UACGUAGGGGGCAAGCGUUGUCCGGACUUACUGGGCGUAAAGCGCGUGCAGGCGGAUUGGUAUGUGCCGUGUGAAAGCUCUCAGCUUGCCUGGGAGAGGUCGCGGUAGACAGCCGAUCUGGAGGCUCGGAGAGGUCAGUGGAAUUCCCGGUGUAGUGGUGAAAUGCGUAGAUAUCAGGAGGAAUACCGAUGGCGAAGGCAGGUCUCUGG